GACGAACGCUGGCGGCGUGCUUAACACAUGCAAGUCGAACGGUGAAGCGCCUUCCUUUUUGGUGGGUGUGGAUGAGUGGCGAACGGGUGAGUAACACGUGAGUAACCUGCCCCCUUCUUCUGGAUAACCGCAUGAAAGUGUGGCUAAUACGGGAUAUUCUGGGUCUGUCGCAUGAUGGGUCUGGGAAAGAUAUUGUUUCGGUGGGGGAUGGGCUCGCGGCCUAUCAGCUUGUUGGGGGGGUGAUGGCCUACCAAGGCGGUGACGGGUAGCCGGCCUGAGAGGGUGGACGGUCACACUGGGACUGAGACACGGCCCAGACUCCUACGGGAGGCAGCAGUGGGGAAUAUUGCACAAUGGGCGCAAGCCUGAUGCAGCGACGCCGCGUGAGGGAUGGAGGCCUUCGGGUUGUGAACCUCUUUCGCCAGUGAAGCAGGCCUGCCUCGUUUGUGGGUGGGUUGACGGUAGCUGGAGAAGAAGCGCCGGCUAACUACGUG
rnacentral:rRNA from 1 species